rnacentral:rRNA from 1 species
CGUAGGUGGCGAGCGUUGUCCGGAUUUAUUGGGUUUAAAGGGUGCGUAGGCGGCUUUGUAAGUCAGUGGUGAAAUAUGGCAGCUCAACUGUCAGGGUGCCAUUGAUACUGCGGAGCUUGAGUACAGAUGAGGUAGGCGGAAUUGACGGUGUAGCGGUGAAAUGCUUAGAUAUCGUCAAGAACACCGAUAGCGAAGGCAGCUUACUGGGCUGUAACUGACGCUGAGGCACGAAAGUGUGGGGAUCAAACAGGAUUAGAUACCCUGGUAGUCCACACUGUAAACGUUGAUGACUCGCUGUUGGCGAUACACGGCCAGCGGCAGAGAGAAAUCGUUAAGUCAUCCACCUGGGGAGUACGCCGGCAACGGUG